rnacentral:rRNA from 1 species
GAUGAACGCUAGCUACAGGCUUUACACAUGCAAGUCGCGGGGCAGCAUGGGGGUUGCUUGCAAUCCCCGAUGGCGACCGGCGCACGGGUGAGUAACGCGUAUCCAACCUGCCCUUCACCACGGGAUAACCCGGCGAAAGUCGGACUAAUACCGUAUGUUGUCCAUUGACGGCAUCCGAUUUGGACGAAAGGUUUGGCGGUGAAGGAUGGGGAUGCGUCCGAUUAGCUGGACGGCGGGGUGACGGCCCACCGUGGCGACGAUCGGUAGGGGUUCUGAGAGGAAGGUCCCCCACACUGGAACUGAGACACGGUCCAGACUCCUACGGGAGGCAGCAGUGAGGAAUAUUGGUCAAUGGGCGUAAGCCUGAACCAGCCAAGUAGCGUGCAGGAUGACGGCCCUAUGGGUUGUAAACUGCUUUUAUGCGGGGAUAAAGUGGCCCACGUGUGGGUUUUUGCAGGUACCGCAUGAAUAAGGACCGGCUAAUUCCGUG